AGGGAACUUUGCGCAAUGGACGAAAGUCUGACGCAGCAAUACUGUGUGAGGGAUGAAGCAUUUCGGUGUGUAAACCUCUGUCGAUGAUGAAUAAAGCAUUGGGGAGUGGAAAGCCUCGGUGUUGAAGGUAAUCAUGAAGGAAGCACCGGCUAACUCUGUGCCAGCAGCCGCGGUAAUACAGGGGGUGCAAGCGUUGUUCGGAAUUACUGGGCGUAAAGGGAGCGUAGGCGGAAUUGCAAGACAGAGGUUAAAUCUCCGGGCUCAACCUGGAACUUGCCUUUGUGACUGCAGUUCUUGGGUAUGGUAGAGGUCAGUGGAAUUUCCGGUGUAGCGGUGGAAUGCGUAGAGAUCGGAAAGAACACCAGAGGCGAAGGCGACUGACUGGACCAAUACUGACGCUGAGGCUCGAAAGCGUGGGGAGCAAAC
rnacentral:rRNA from 1 species